GACGAACGCUGGCGGCGUGCUUAACACAUGCAAGUCGAACGGAAAGACCCUGCUUUUGUGGGGUGCUCGAGUGGCGAACGGGUGAGUAACACGUGAGUAACCUGCCCUUGACUUUGGGAUAACUUCAGGAAACUGGGGCUAAUACCGUAUAGGAGCUCCUGCUGCAUGGUGGUGGUUGGAAAGUUUCGGCGGUUGGGGAUGGACUCGCGGCUUAUCAGCUUGUUGGUGGGGUAGUGGCUUACCAAGGCUUUGACGGGUAGCCGGCCUGAGAGGGUGACCGGCCACAUUGGGACUGAGAUACGGCGCAGACUACUACGGGAGGCAGCAGUGGGGAAUAUUGCACAAUGGGCGGAAGCCUGAUGCAGCAACGCCGCGUGCGGGAUGACGGCCUUCGGGUUGUAAACCGCUUUCGCCUGUGACGAAGCGUGAGUGACGGUAAUGGGUAAAGAAGCACCGGCUAACUACGUG
rnacentral:rRNA from 1 species